GACGAACGCUGGCGGCGUGCUUAACACAUGCAAGUCGAACGGAAAGGCCCUGCUUUUGUGGGGUGCUCGAGUGGCGAACGUGUGAGUAACACGUGAGUAACCUGCCCUUUACUUUGGGAUAACUUCAGUAAACUGGGGCUAAUACCUGAUAGUAGCUCCUGCUGCAUGGUGGGGGUUGGAAAGUUUCGGCGGUUGGGGUUGGACUCGCGGCUUAUCAGCUUGUUGGUGGGGUAGUGGCUUACCAAGGCUUUGACGGGUAGCCGGCCUGAGAGGGUGACCGGCCACAUUGGGACGGAGAUACGGCCCGGACGCCGACGGGAGGAAGCAGUGGGGAAUGGAGCACUAUGGGCGGAAGGCUGAUGCAGCAACGCCGCGUGCGGGAUGACGGACUUCGGGUUGUAAACCGCUUUCGCCUGUGACGAAGCGUGAGUGACGGUAAUGGGUAAAGAAGCACCGGCUAACUACGUG
rnacentral:rRNA from 1 species